UACGUAGGUGGCAAGCGUUGUCCGGAUUUACUGGGCGUAAAGAGCGCGCAGGCGGUCGUUCAAGUCGCGUGUGAAAGCCCCCGGCUCAACUGGGGAGGGUCACGCGAUACUGAUCGACUCGAAGGCAGGAGAGGGUAGUGGAAUUCCCGGUGUAGUGGUGAAAUGCGUAGAUAUCGGGAGGAACACCGGUGGCGAAGGCGGGUCUCUGGGCCGAUAUUGACGCUGAGGAGCGAAAGCGUGGGGAGCGAACAGG
rnacentral:rRNA from 1 species